GUCUUUUAAUUUGAUUAGGAAUUUAAAAAAAAAGAAAAAAACAAUUAACUUAAGCAACGUUUCUUAAUUAGGGAACAUAAGAUACGUCUCUUGUAACGACACGCGUCGCGUUGAUAGUGUUUUGGGAGGAGAGGGGUUUGUUCUGAAUCGAAAUCAAAGGCAAAAGGUUUGUUCUGAAUCGAAAUCAAAGGUAAAGGGUUUGUUCUGAAUCAAAAUCGAAGGCCAUAUGUUAGGGGCCCCAAAGAUCAACAUGUUUCAAAUCAAAUGGAGCUAAACUUUUAUUAAGACUUUCUAAAAACAUUUCUUUAGUUGAUUUAGACUGAAAACUAAUAUCGCAUCCAUCAAACUUGUUUGGGACGUCUUUAACACCAGAAACAAACGACAAAAAAUUCAAAACACCAUAAGCAGGAUGUCCAAGACGACGAUGCCACACAAUCUGAUCUUCAGAAGCUUUAACUCUGUGACCUCUCAUUACUGUUACAUCCCGAUAAACAUAGACACCAUUUUUGACUUCACCGGCUCCAAUCAGAGUCCUCG
rnacentral:lncRNA from 1 species